UUUUGUCCUACGUGGCAGCAAUUAAAUGAAAGAGAGAGUAGCCGGCGUUUGCUUCGUCGAGCUCCCAGGCUUGGAGACGAUUCGGCCGGGCGUUGUAUGAACUCGACGACGGCGGUGGCAGAUCGAUUGCGUCCGCGCACCAGCGUGAUUUCUUCUUCCCGCUGUGCUUUCGUGCCAAAUCGACCGAGGAAGCAUCAGCAACUUCUUCCCGCCUUGCUUCCGCGCCAAAUCAACCAAGGAAGACGGCGGCGCACGGCGUGGUUUGGCGAUUUCCCCCUCCGCGUAGUGAUUCGUCCCUCUGCCUGUGAAUCAAGAAAGGAUGGAGCAGCCAAGUCAUGGGGCAAAAAGGGCAUCUGGUGACAUUGUUUCAAGCAAACUAGCUUAGUUGGCAUGCCACGUUGGCAAGAGUGGAGGCAAGGGCAUGGAGGUGUUGGCUGGAGGAGGGAGGAGCUUGGGCUCGACAACUGCGGGGGCACAACCAGCUCGACGACGGUGACCAUGGAUGGUCCGUUCCCAUGGUUCCCCGGAGUGCAAAUUUUUGCCGGCGGCUCGACAACGACAUCACCGUCAAUUUAUCCUCAAGCUCUGGAUCCGGCAACAUGGGACCAUAGCCCACACCCAAAUGGUGAUUUUAUUAACAUGUUCAAUCACCAGCCUCAGUUGUCACCUCAUAUGUCGAUAUACAAGUGUUAUGACAGAUGCUGAAAAGAUUGAACAUGUCGCUGCUUUGAGAUGUUUCAGGAAUAGGCUAUUUCCAGAUAGCAACUAGAAGGUACACCGGCUAAAAUUUACUGUCCAUGUUAGCAUAAGUAUUUUUGAUAGCCCUUGCUGUUAGGAUUGGUGUUAACCCAUGCUGCCUGCAAGCAUCAACCAGAUCCAAAUUAUAUAUGGACCUAAUUGAUGCAACAUACAUGGACCUCAUCUCAAGAUGGUGGUCCUGGUAAUGAGAGGUGGACAGCUUUUCCGUUUUUUCGCAUGAAGAAAUCUCAGACUUGAUGUAAUAUUUGAACUAAAUGAUCUGUAGCUAUGUGUUAUGGUGAACUGACUCUAGUCAGUAUGAUAAGUGCAAUAUUUCAGUUUUUAUGAAUGUGAGAUUGAAUAUAUGUACAAUUUAUAUACUGAUUUGAGUAGUUCUUGAUUAGAAUGUGAACCGUUCUUGAUGUGAAUGUGAGCAUUUUUUUUGAU